UGGGGAAUAUUGGGCAAUGGGCGCAAGCCUGACCCAGCAACGCCGCGUGAAGGAAGAAGGCUUUCGGGUUGUAAACUUCUUUUAUCAGGGACGAAGGAUGUGACGGUACCUGAUGAAUAAGCCACGGCUAACUACGUGCCAGCAGCCGCGGUAAUACGUAGGUGGCAAGCGUUGUCCGGAUUUACUGGGUGUAAAGGGCGUGUAGGCGGGACUGCAAGUCAGAUGUGAAAACUAUGGGCUUAACCCAUAGCCUGCAUUUGAAACUGUGGUUCUUGAGUACUGGAGAGGCAGGCGGAAUUCCUCGUGUAGCGGUGAAAUGCGUAGAUAUGAGGAGGAACACCAGUGGCGAAGGCGGCCUGCUGGACAGCAACUGACGCUGAGGCGCGAAAGCGUGGGGAGCAAACAGG
rnacentral:rRNA from 1 species